UAUAAAGUAUUUUAUUUAAAAUAGAGUUUUGAAAAAGCUCAGACAAGUUUUGAUCACUUCUUUAUGU
rnacentral:tRNA from 1 species